rnacentral:scRNA from 1 species
AGUUUCAUGACUUUUUCCUGCGCUGGGGUUAA